ACCUCUUCAUUUGUCUGGAUAUUAGUUCCGAGAUAGAUCUCCCCAAACGACCCGCUGCCGAUCUUUCGACCGAGCCGAAACUUAUUACCAACACGCGGCUCCAUCAAUACGAUCAACAGAAACCCAAAAAUUGAAACCCCCAGCUACAAUACAAAACCUAAUUCGACAACUUCCUCAAGAAAAAAAAAUUAUCAAAAAUGUGGGAAAAACAAACUAAUGCCGAGAAAAAACACGACACUGUACACCGAAUCAGCCGCACCGACAACUUGAAAAAGUCGCACGGAAACGAAGAAACCCAACAGGGGUAAAAGAAAAACAGAGAAGAUAGAAUUGAGAUCUGGAAUUUCGUGGGUCUCUGAAGAUUAGAGAAUCAGGGGAAAAAAAAAUCCUAAUCUAGGGUUAGGUUAAUUACAGAUAAAAUGAAAAAGAAAAGUAAAAACUAAAAAUUUAGAAGUAGGUCUCUCCAGGUAUUAUCAUCUUUAUGACUCUCUACAGAAACUCAGAGUUUUCUCUCUUUCUUCUCUCUCAUUGCUGAUCCGAUAGAAUCACAGCAAAAGACUUCUAACA
rnacentral:misc_RNA from 1 species